UCGUGUUGACGAACUUGACCAACUACCUAUCAGAUCUGGGGUGACUGAGGAUCGUGUACCAGAGGUGCAGAUUCCGGAGAGGAAAUUCGGGAGAAACCGUCACAUCGUUUUACAGCCUCCUCGGUAACCUGUGCAGCACAGUUGGAGCCGUUCUGUCCAGACAGCUGCAUAUUCAGAUAUUAAUGGGUGCUUUUGCUGCUGUUUUGGAUGCUGUCCAUUUUGUGUCUUGCUGUGUCCCUUUGCUCCUGUGCUGGAACUCAAAGGCAGAAAGGAGGCAGAGGAUGAUGAGGGGGCGGAGGAGGCAGCACCUCCUUGCUGUGUGUGUGCUGAUGGUUGUCGCUGGAGGUUUUCUGAAGUCGAGGGUCACCAAUCUCCCAGCAGACAGACCUCUAAUCAGGAGGAGACUGCUGCAUGUCACACUCCAAGACAACACUGAAAUCCUCGGUUAAAUACUUGUUG